GGGGUCGUCUUGGCUUCGACAGAAUACUAAAGGUAUUGUUUGCAAAUGGUAACUGCACCUUACGCAGAACAGUUUUUAAAAUUAACUGACAAUAAAAAUUUUAAUCACGCUCUAGCAUUUGCCUGAUAAGGCAUAAGAGCAUCAUUGAAGCUUUUCUCAUAGGGCUUUAAUGAUUUAUAUUUAUGAGAUAUGUUUAUAAAAGUGUUUUGAUUUAUAAAUGAGAAUUUAAAAACUUAGCUAAAGAUUUUUUGUUAGAUUUAAACUCUUUAGUGAAACAACAAUCUAACUAAAUUUGUAGACGGCAAUAUAUUUAUAUUUUGGACACCAGUUCAACUCUGGUCGACUCCACCA
rnacentral:tmRNA from 1 species